CUGUGGCUGAAUUCCGGUUUUGCCACCUCCCCGUGGAAGAACCUCAUGCAAAGUACUGAGCCUCGACUUCCCAACUUCCUCAUCUGUGCAAUGGGGAAGGAGGAGACACUCCACAGGGUGCUUGGAGGGUGAAAUGAGUUUAACAAGCACAGCACUUUGCUCUUGGCAUAUUAAACGUAAGUUCACGGUCUCUCUUAUCAGUCGGAGUUAGCAUCUAAUUGAACUCUAAAGCAAUUGACCGAAGCACUUCUAUAACCUGAAACAUACUAGCAUCUCCUUAUACCAGUGUGUCUCAGACUUUAAUGUGCACGCAGAUUACCUAAGCCUCUUGUUCAAGUACUGACUCAGAUUCUAUCACGCUGCCAGAGGAUGCAGGCCACAUUUUGAAUAGCAGGUGCUUUGUGGAAAAUAUUCAAAUCUAUCACGUGCAGUUGAAACAGUGUUAAUAUCAACUGCUAAAAUCUGAUGGUGAUUCUUUUUGAGGGUCAAGAUUGAAAUUUUUGUGAAUGACAAGUGGCACCGUCAACUACGAUAAGGUUUUGGAAAUAGGCUUUUGUUGCCGAAUCGAUAGUUUCUUAAUGAAUAUGACCUAAAAUUACAAGGCAAAACAGCACUUAAAUGUGAAACUUACACUGCGGAAAAGUCAUUUCAAUGACAACUAAUGUUUGAAUCACACGAAAUGUCAAGCUGGUUUAUCCGUUUCCUGUGCUGUCGCAAGUUAGAAUAAGAAGCAAGGCCUCCGUUUCCACGCAAACGUGUACCAGAUAUAUUUUCGGAGCUCGGAUGACAGCUCCAGUGGUAUUUUUUUGGACCUUGAUGCAAGUGCAAAUGAAAUUUCCAUAUUUCCAAAUCCAUUUAACUGUGCAAUUGAGGAGUUUCCACCUACCCUUCCAUGUAAUCCCAGCCCUGAAAAGUUCAAGAAACGGAAGCAUAAUGGCCACAAUAUAUUUAUUAUCCUCUGUCAUCAGUUAAGAACUGGAAGAGCUUUAAGAGCCAGAAAAGUAGAAGUCCCAACUCCCCGAGAGUCAAGAAAACGGUGCUGCAUUCUUUACAGUCUACGGAGCUCGCACACUGGCCAUAAUAAAGCCUGUAUCUAUUUUUGAUUUGACGAAGUUGUGCCUGUCACUGACGAACACAUCCUCAGCAAAGUGAAUCACUCUGCAGAGAUUUUAAAAUCAGGAUGGCAUCAAUAUCGCGAUCACCCUGCUUUAAUUACAUUCAUUUCAGUCUUCUAGUUUUGGGGCUCUUGGCUGACCUGUUCUGGGUACUUUGAAAAUGAAGUUUACCAUGGUGCCCUCUGGUGGAAUCAAAUUUGGCCGUUUUUAAAACAAGCCUUGUCUAGGGAGACUGCAUCAC